rnacentral:sRNA from 1 species
AAAAUUGUUUUUGAAAAGUCCAACUAUAUUAGUUCAUCUGAAAAACGAAUGUACUUGAGUUGUUUUUUUAUUGUUGUUUUAGAUUCUCAGUUUUUUUUUUGAAUUUAUAUAUCCUUGUUUUUUUGUUAUAUGUAUAGAUUAUGAGACGGUGGAAUUUUAGAAAAUUUAUUUU